CCCCCCUCCUCUCUCUCUCUCCCUUCCAGAGAGCAGAGCAGAGGCCAUUCCUCUCUUCUCCACCACCUAGUCGGCCCUCUCUCUCUCUCUCUCAGAGGAUACUACCCUUUUCGCUGCGCACAAAUAAGAGACGAACAGAAGAGAAGGGGGCGGAGGAAGCAUUCGUCCAGGACUGCAGUGCCUGCCUGUUUCUUGCUGCUUCGUGGCUUCCCCUGCCAUGUCCAUGGAUGAAGGCUAUGGCCCUACCUGGGACAGCGACGACGAAUACGACAACUUCAUACGCAAGAUGAACCCGCCAAGGAUCGUGAUCGAUAACGAUUCUUGCGCCGAUGCGACAAUUGUCAGGGUUGACAGUGCAAAUGAAUAUGGGAUAUUACUAGAAGUGAUCCAGGUCCUGAUUGAUCUGAACCUGGUGAUAAGUAAGGCCUAUAUAACCUCAGAUGGUGGAUGGUUCAUGGAUGUCUUUAAUGUAACUGAUAAGGAAGGAAAGAAGCUGAAAGAUAAGGAAGCCAUUGCGCAAAUCGAAGACUACAUUAGAAAGUCCUUGGGUGCAGAUUCAAGAUAUAUACCUUCACGCCGGAGAUCGGUAGGCGUUGCCGCUGCAGCUGACCACAAUGUCAUCGAGUUGACAGGGACAGACCGGCCAGGCCUUCUCUCUGAAGUCAGCGCGGUGCUUGUCAGCCUUAAGUGCAACGUGGUCAGUGCUGAGAUCUGGACCCAUAACACCAGAGCUGCAGCCGUGAUGCAAGUCACCGAUGAGGACACCGGAUUGGCAGUCACAGACACCGAGAGGGUGGAGAGGAUCAAGGAGAGGCUAUCUUACCUGCUCCGAGGAAGCAAUCUUUCCCGGGGAGCCGCCAUGGCGGAGUCGUCAGGGACUGCCACAACGCAUACUGAUAGAAGGCUGCACCAGAUGAUGCUUGAUGAUGGCGACUAUGAACAGCUCCAACAGCAUGCUCCAGACCAUUCUCUGAGACCUAAUGUUACCGUAAGGAAUUGGAAUGACAAGGACUACUCGGUGGUGACCAUCCGGUGCAAGGACAGGCCCAAGCUUCUGUUUGAUACGGUUUGCACUCUGACAGACCUACACUAUGUUGUUUUCCAUGCAAACAUUGAUGCCAAGGAUAAUCAAGCUUACCAGGAAUUCUAUGUAAGGCAUAUCAACGGAUCGCCAAUGAACACUGAAACUGAGAGAUUGCGAGUCAUCCAGUGCCUUGAAGCAGCUAUUGAACGGAGGGUAUCUGAGGGUGUCAAACUUGAGCUGUGCACUAAUGACAAAGUCGGCCUACUAUCCGAGGUCACCCGCAUCUUCCGCGAGAACAGCCUGACUGUCACAAGAGCAGAGGUGAGCACGAGAGGCAGGAUGGCUGUCAACACCUUCUAUGUUCGCGGUUCUGCAGGAGAGGCAGUUGAUCAGAAGACAAUAGACUCCAUCAGGCAAGCCAUAGGCCAGAACAUUCAGGUGAAAGGCCAGCCUGAGCCACCGGAGCCACAGAGGAAAGAGUCCCCCACAUGGUUCCUCUUCGCUAACUUGUUUCGGCCGAGGUCUCUCUACAGUUUCGGGCUAUUCAUGCGUUGAUUGCAUCGUCCCGUUCUGAAAAUCGCCCUGUAAAUCCAUUAUUCAUGAAGCGAUCCAGGAAAAUCGGGGUCAGAAAGAGCAAAGCCUCCAUUCUGCUUCAUUGGUCAGGAUUGGAUAUAGCUGUCCUGCCACUGGAAUCCGCAUGACAGCAAUGGUCGCUUCAAAUUCUGUGGUGGGAGGUCAGACGCGAGUCAGUAUUCAAAAGCAUGCGGUUAUCCCCUUACCUGAAGCUUUGGUGAUCGAGACACAAUACAUCAAGUUGCGCUGAUGGGCUGACGCAGACAAAAGUGCAUCAAAACCAAAUCAGCUUCUGUGGCUGAUCUGUGAUCCUGUCAUCUAUCACAUUCACUCCGGUAUGUGAUCUCCGAUUGAGGAUGACGAUGAGGCAGUUGUGACGUCGCAUCCUGCUCUCAUUGCCUUGGAGCAGCCUACAGAUGUGUCGGUCUGUGCCUGAAAGUUCAGUGGGGAGCCAUAAGAGUAGCUGAAAUGAGAAUCUAGAAAUAGGUAGCACAAGAGUUAGCUCGGAAUGUUUGUCACAUUCUGGGUCCUCUCUAUCCUCCCUUUGCCUGUCAAUAGUGCUGCUUUUGGCUCCUGUGAUGAUUGGCUGAUAGCACAUAUUUCCGCUUUUGAAUGGUGACAUUUGAUCCACAAAGGCAUGAAUGAUAAGGGCUGCAGCACCAAUAAUUCACAUUGAGGUCAAGCAGAAGUGGAUCCUUUCAACAGCAUGACAUUGCUGAACGGCAAAAGCAGCUUUUGUUUGCUUUGCAAAGAGGCGCAAAGGAGCCAUUAGAAGCACGCCUUGCUCGCCAGGGAUCCAGUGGAAUGGUCUGAACAAUGGCAAAGUGCCACCAAGUGCCUUAUCCGGAAUCCAAGCAUUUGUGCAGAUUCAAGGUACCAACACAAUUUUAUCCUUCGGUAGAGGAGAAAACCGAGUGCAAAAGCAGGUUUGGAAAACAUUCUGGUAAUUGGCAAAUUGAUUGUAUCGAGAAGUAACAUUCUGGUAAUUGGCAAAUUGAUUGGUAUCGAAUGUAACAGCACUU